rnacentral:rRNA from 1 species
GACGAACGCUGGCGGCGUGCUUAACACAUGCAAGUCGAACGGAAAGGCCCGGCUUUUGUUGGUCUCUCGAGUGGCGAACGCGGGUGUAACACGCGAGUAACCUGCCCUUGACAUUCGGAUAUAUCCUCGAAACUGCGGCUAAUACCGGAGAGGAGCUCUUGCUGCACGGUGGGGGUUGGAAAGUGUCGGCGGUUGUGUCUCGAUUCGCGGCUUAUCCGCUGGUUGGUGAGGUAGUGGCUUACAAAGGCUUUGACGGGUAGCCGGCCUGAGAGGGUGACCGGCCACAUUGGGACUGCGAUACGGCGCAGACUCCUACGGGAGGCAGCAGUGGGGAAUAUUGCACAAUGGGCGGAAGCCUGAUGCAGCAACGCCGCGUGCGGGAUGACGGCCUUCGGGUUGUGAACCGCUUUCGCCUGUGACGAAGCGUGAGUGACGGUAAUGGGUAAAGAAGCACCGGCUAACUACGUG